AACGAACGCUGGCGGCAGGCCUAACACAUGCAAGUCGAGCGAGCGGCGGACGGGUGAGUAAUGUCUGGGAAACUGCCUGUUGGAGGGGGAUAACUACUGGAAACGGUAGCUAAUCCCGCACACCAUCAGAUGUGCCCAGAUGGGAGUAGCUAGGUGGUGGGGUAAUGGCUCACCUAGGCGACGAUCCCUAGCUGGUCUGAGCGGAUGACCUGCCACACUGGAACUGAGACACGGUCCAGACUCCUACGGGAGGCAGCAGUGGGGAAUAUUGCACAAUGGGCGCAAGCCUGAUGCAGCCAUGCCGCGUGUGUGAAGAAGGCCUUCGGGUUGUAAAGCACUUUCAGCGGGGAGGCGUUACCCGCAGAAGAAGCACCGGCUAACUCCGUGCCAGCAGCCGCGGUAAUUC
rnacentral:rRNA from 1 species